UACGAAGGGGGCUAGCGUUGCUCGGAAUCACUGGGCGUAAAGCGCACGUAGGCGGAUUGUUAAGUCAGGGUGAAAUCCUGGAGCUCAACUCCAGAACUGCCUUUGAUACUGGCGAUCUUGAGUCCGGGAGAGGUGAGUGGAACUGCGAGUGUAGAGGUGAAAUUCGUAGAUAUUGGGAAGAACACCCGUGGCGAAGGCGGUUCUCUGGGACGGUACUGACGCUGAGACGCGAAAGCGUGGGGAGCGAACAGG
rnacentral:rRNA from 1 species